CACACACACACACAAGCCCAGCUGAUAACUGUGUCCAUGUGGCCGGAAGAGCAUAAAAUCACAGCCACACGACGUUGCCAUGUGUGCGUCUGCUGCGGCUUGCCAUGUCAUCACAGCUGGACGUGUCGCUGAGGGUCAGAGGUCAGGCGGCGGCCAGCAGCAGGACCGCGGUCAGUGGGCGAGCAAAGCUGAAUUCCUGCUGGCUGUUGCUGGACAGAUUAUCGGUCUGGGUAACGUGUGGCGAUUCCCAUAUCUGUGCUACAAGAACGGAGGAGGUGUGUUCUUUGUGCCGUACAUGUUAUUCCUGGUUGUGUGUGGUGUUCCGCUCUUCCUGCUGGAGACGGCGCUGGGUCAGUUCACCAGUCUGGGAGGAGUCGGCGCAUGGAGGAAAAUCUGCCCACUUUUUGCAGGUCUGGGUUAUGCCAGUCAGGUGAUGAUCUUACACAGUUGUGUGUAUUUCAUCAUUAUUCUGGCCUGGGCGCUUUUCUACCUGUGUAGCAGCUUCCAGACGCCACUUCCCUGGGCGCACUGCAACAACACCUGGAACACAGAUUCCUGCGUGGGCUUUGAGCGACACAACAUCAGCGAAGUCUCUGAAAACGCCACGUCUCCAGUCAUUGAGUUUUGGGAGCGUGAGGUGUUGGAUCUGUCUGCGAGUGUAGAUCAUCUGGGCUCGGUGAACCUCCGUCUGGCCUUCUGUCUGCUGCUGGUGUGGGUCGUCUGCUACUUCUGUGUCUGGAAAGGAGUCAAAUCCACCGGCAAGGUUGUGUAUGUCACAGCCACCUUCCCUUACGUGAUGCUGCUGGUGUUGUUAAUUCGUGGGGUGACGCUCCCCGGUGCCGUGGACGGGAUUAUUUAUUACCUGAAACCCAAUCACACACGGCUGACAGACCCACAGGUAUGGAUGGAUGCAGGGACUCAGAUCUUCUUCUCAUAUGGCAUUGGUCUGGGAAGUCUCACAGCUCUGGGCAGCUACAAUAAAUUCAACAACGACUGUUACAAGGACUGUUUCAGACUGUGCCUCCUCAACAGUGGCACCAGUUUCGUGGCAGGAUUCGCCAUUUUCUCGGUGCUCGGCUUCAUGGCGCAGGAGCAGGGUGUGGAUAUCGCAGACGUGGCGCAGUCAGGUCCUGGUCUAGCGUUCAUAGCGUAUCCGCGGGCCGUUUCCAUGAUGCCUGUGCCGCAGCUGUGGGCCGUGUGUUUCUUCCUCAUGAUCAUCAUGUUGGGUCUGGACACUCAGUUUGUCAGUCUCGAGGCGCUGAUGAUGUCGUUGUCAGAUCGGUACCCCGCAGUCGUCCGUAAAGGUCGCCGGCGUGAGAUUCUGCUCCUGCUUGUGUGUUCAGUGUGUUUCCUGCUCGGGCUUCUGAUGGUGACGCCGAUCUACGAUCAUUUCUCCUGCAGUGGAGCCAGUCUGCUGCUGCUGUCCGUCUGUCAGUCGGUGGCUAUCGGAUGGAUCUAUGGUGCUGAGCGUUUCAGCAGUGACAUCGAGGCCAUGAUCGGUUACCAGCCGCUCGGCAGCUUCAGGCUGUGCUGGCGUUACCUGACGCCCGCCGUGUGCAUUGGCACGUUCGUGUUCUCGCUGAUGUGUUGGUCUCCGCUGACCCUCGCCAACGGCUUGACUGCCCCUGGAUGGGCCACGGCGAUGGGCUGGACGCUGACGCUGUCCUCCGUGUCUCUUCUGCCGGUCUGCGCGCUCUACACCCUCAUGAACACACCUGGGAAACUUUCGACAGCGUCUCCGCCUGCUGUGCCGCCCCGCGCUGGACUCAUGCUGACAGACGAGCACCUUUCUAAUGCUGCGUGCUUGACCUUUGACCUCAGCACAAAGAAGCCCAAAGAGCCAAUUAAGGACGUGGUGUAAUCGAGUGAAACUGAACAGAUCUGAUGUAAAGAAACCAGCGUGAAACAGCUGGAAGGAAAGCUCGUCCUCGUGCCUCAAUCCUUGCUCAUUUUAAUCUCCGUUGGCAGGUCAAGGCCCGAGCCAAAGGUGAGCUGUGGGUUACAGCAGUACCUCUAAAGAUCCCAAAGCAUUCAUCACCCAAAACACACACACACACCCCUCACACGUCGGCCGACCCACGCCGUGGUUUCUCACAUUGCUUUAACCUGAGCAAACAUCCUCCGCCGACCCCCAAGAGACUCUGGGAUCACAACAUUUCUCACAAACCGCUGGCAGAUAGGUGAGAGAUGAGAGGUGCCUCUUCACGGCCGUCUCAUAACCAACAUGUUUUGACCGCAGGAAAAACAACAGGCCCGAUAGCAGCGUAUCUGAUGUUAAAAGCAUCUGAUAUAAAAAGUAUUGCAAGUUAAAGUCACAGGAGAUCAAAACUGACUCUUUAUAUAAAGUAUGUCCAACUUUAUCUGUAUAUACUCACAUAAGAUGAUAUAUACUGUACUAUAGCAAAUCAUGAGUUGCUGUUUGAACAGGACAUUUCGAGACUCACCUGUAAGAAGGGCCUAAAAUAAACACUCACCAAGCUCCAAAUGUGAGUAAAAAUUGGUGUUGGUGAGUAACAGUGUCAAUCACCAGUUGGCUGGUAAUAUUUUUAUGAAUUCUAGCAAUGACAAACAUGAACGAUGCUCGGGACAGUUGACGGGCCAGUGUUGCAUCUUCACGAAAGUUUAUGCCUUGCCAAUCGAAAUAUUCAAGCGCAAGAAGACGCGAAAGGGGUCUCAAUUCGUUACUCGUUACCAAAACACGCACGCAGAAAGCUGCGUCUCAGACAGUGCGCGAAUCAAGCUCUCUUUUACCUCUUCUUGUGCUUGAAGAGACAUAUUCAAACAGAAUUGUGUCAAAAUGGCUGUCUUGGCAAGUAGACUCUAAAAAAUGCUGGGUUAAAAACAACCCAAGUUGGGUUGAAAAUGGACAAACCCAUAGACGGGGUUGUUUUAACCCAGCGGUUGGGUUAAAUGUUUGCUCAACCUGCUGGGUAGUUUUAUUUAACUCAACUAUUGUUUAAAAAUGACUAUAUGUCUGGCUUAAAAUGAACCCAAAAUAGGUUGGAAACUAAAAAUCAGACACAUAAUUACUAGAGGAAACAAUAAUAAUGAAAAGGUGAACAUUUAUUAAUAAGCAAUUUAAUAAGUGUUUUUUUGUUUAUUAUUCAUUAAACUUAUUAAUAAAUGUUCAUUUAUUAAACAUAUUAAUAAAUGUUAAUUUCCAACAUACUUUGGGUUCAUUUUAAGCAAACAAUACAGUAAUUUUUAAACAAUAGUUAAAUAAAACUACCCAGCAGGCUAGGCAAACAUUUAACCCAAACACUGGGUUAAAACAACCCAUUCGCUGGGUUAAAACACCCAAUUCACUGGGUUAAAACAACCUAUUCACUGGGUUAAAACACCCCAUUCGCUGGGUUAAAACAACCCAUCUGCUGGGUUAAAACAGCCUAUUCGCUGCGCUGGGUUAAAACAACCCAUUCGCUGGGUUAAAACAACCCAUUCGCUGGGUUUGUCCAUUUUCAACCCAGUAUUUUUUAGAGUGUAUCUUUGUAAACAUAGCCAGUUAUGUCAUAAGUGAACGUAAACAGUAAAUAAAACACAUGUAACAGUAUAAUGGAUCCGUGCAUUAGCUCUUAAAGUGACAGCAGCCUAAUAUUCCUGCUGCUUUCUGUGUUUUUAAACUUAAUCAAACAACAAAAGACAAAGAACAAUCACUCACUGCUCUUGACUGAAUAACUUUUGUAGAUUUAAUAAGGAUUAAUCUGUUUAUAAACAUUUGUUGAAAAAAAUAUUUAUGGCCGGUAAAUUUUCUUAAGUCACGGGCCAUUGACAGGUGUGGCAGAAAGUUAGUUUUAGGCCCUGCCUGUAAGUAAAUGCAGUUGUCAAUCCCCAAAACUGACAGUGUAAACAAUAUCUAUUCAGUCUAACCCACUCUGGUAUGAAACGGACAAACUCAUGGAUAAAAUCCAGCCCUGACCAUUUAUUACUCAUGAAUAUCCUGUUUAACUGGGAAAUACAUCACAUUAUGGAAGUAAAAUGGGUUGUGAAUGCCAUUUCAAAGUCGUUUCAGAAUGUUAUUACGUUCUCAUGAAAGAUUUUGAAGACAAACAUGUUUUCAUUUAGAAUAACGUCACUGUUGAAUCAUUCAAUAAGAAAAAGGAACAUGAAUUAAGAGAGUAAAUAGAGUCAGGGUUUAUUUCACUGAUUUUAAGGAUCUAUUAUGUUAACAUCGUAACAUUGAAUUUAUAAUGAGAAUUCUGGAUGUUAUAGAUGCAGAAAAAA